rnacentral:rRNA from 1 species
UGAGGAAUAUUGGACAAUGGGCGCAAGCCUGAUCCAGCCAUGCCGCGUGCAGGAAGACGGUCCUAUGGAUUGUAAACUGCUUUUAUACAGGAAGAAACACCUCUACGUGUAGAGACUUGACGGUACUGUAUGAAUAAGCAUCGGCUAACUCCGUGCCAGCAGCCGCGGUAAUACGGAGGAUGCAAGCGUUAUCCGGAAUCAUUGGGUUUAAAGGGUCCGUAGGCGGCCAAAUAAGUCAGUGGUGAAAGCCCAUCGCUCAACGAUGGAACGGCCAUUGAUACUGUUUGGCUUGAAUUAUUAGGAAGUAACUAGAAUAUGUAGUGUAGCGGUGAAAUGCUUAGAGAUUACAUGGAAUACCAAUUGCGAAGGCAGGUUACUACUAAUA